UGCUGUGUAAGAAACCACCUGCAAUGGCGAG
rnacentral:piRNA from 1 species